UUGCUGUUUCCAUUAUUUAAUAUUUAGAUAUAGGUCAAUGCCGCCCCCCAUCCCCUCCCCCAAUUUUCAAGUUAACCCAGAUCUUUCUGAUGGGUGCAGAAGGAUGAUGGAUGCUUAACAUAUUCUGCAGUUAGUUUUCAUGACAACAUUUAUGUCAGAUAAAAUUCUUCUAGGAUCUACCUGCUUUUAAAACUAAUUUACUUUUUACUACACCAUAGGUCUCACUAAUGUUCUAAGAUUCCUUUUUUUUUUCUUUUUCUUUUUAUCAUUUUUCUCCUUUGAGGUUAAAAUAUGCAAAUCUGGAACCGCACUGGAAGAGGUCAGAUCGUGGACAUUCUAGCUAGAUGACCUUUCACUGUAAAGCUGUUUCACGGGAAGACCUCCUUUGAACCCUACUUAGCACUUUACUCCUUUCUCUUGAACUUCAGAAAGUUUUAUGGUUUCUUUUGAUGUCUUAUCACAGCAUCUCCAGGUGGACUCCGCUGUUUUCAGCUGCCCCGGGGAACAGGAAAAGCCACUGGCUCCUGCGACAGUGGCUGACAUUACAGUCAACAUUCAGAAGUUGACAGACAAGUAACUUCAUCAACUUGUGGUCCACUGUCUCCUUCACGCUGCACGGCUCUUAGCAAGAGGGUUAGGAUCAUAAGCAGAGAGAUGGUGGGGUGAGACCAUACUGAGGCUCUCUCAAGCACACAAGCUCACAUUCCUCUUUAACCAUCUGUCAGCCUCAGAGACUCUUCCUAAACUCCAGCACACUUUCUCCCCCAAGUCCCUUUUUCAUUUACAUUUGUAUUCUACAAGCUCAAGUGUUUUUUCUGAGACAUAGCUUUUUUUUUUUUUUUUAAAAAACUGUGAUAUUUGUCUAAUUCUGAUUCACAAAUUCCCUUUCAAUCGUUGCAACAUUACCUGCCCCAAAUCCCACACAUGCAUUGCCAGCCACAGAACCUCCUGCAAUGUUCAGUUUCUGUGUGUGAUAUUUAAGCCGGAAAAACACUCUCCCAUUUUAUUGUGCCAUUCUUCAGUCAUGAUCCGUGUGACCCAUCAGAUUCGACAUUGGUUUUUAUGUUCCUUCUUGGACACACAGUGUAGCAAUAUAUCAAGGCCCAGUGUUGGGCAAUAGAAUUCUUUCUUUAGCUCUCUGUGAGUCAGAACCUCAGGAUUUUCACAAUCAUCUUUAAAGUCCUCUGGCUUUAUGGUACCUCAUUUCCUAAAGUAUAACUCUAUUUACAAAGUGAGCGAUUGGGAAAUGGGGCAAAGAGCAGAUGUGUCAAGAAAUGCUGCUGCUGCAGUGUGGUAAGAGCUCUGUCCAGGUCUGCACCGAGUGCUGUGGAAUUCAUGCAUGCCCAGAGAAUUGUUAUUCAUGAUAGCCAGAAAGUAGGAAAAACCCAAUGUCCAACCGGUGAAUGGGACAAAACGCAGCAUAGUCACACACUGGAAAUUACUUGGCAGUAAAGAGGAAUGAAGAGUAGCACAUGGUACAAGGAAUGAGCCUGAAAACAUUAUGUGGGGUGAUAGAAAGCAGUCAGAAAGGACCCUGUACUGUAUGGUUCCAUGUAUGUGAAAUGUCCAGAAUGGGCAGAGCCCAUAGCAACAGAAAGUAGAUUGGCAGUUGCCCAGAGAUGGUGAGGGGAGGGGUGGGAGAGAGGAUGGUGGUUGGAGGAGGCAGGAUUUCUUUUUGGCGUGAUGAAAAUGUUCUUAAAUUGAUAGCAGUGAUGCUUGCACAACUCUGUGAAUAUAGGAAAAGCCAUGGAGUUACAGGCUUCAAAUGGGCCAAUUGCUCUAUAUGAAUGACAUUUUAAUCAAGCUGUUAAAAAAUGCUAUGGGAGCAGAGAAGAAUGCAUGAAUCACUGACAUUGUCAUGGGGACGGUAACCAGCACUUACAGAACAUCUGAGCCUCAGCGCAGCCUUCAGCUGGGGGCUGUCACCCCCAUAUACCGAGAACUGAAUCUGUCCCUGGCCCCAGAGCAGGGUCAGGAGGUGGUCUCCAGCCUGUGGGACUCCUGUCAGCAGUGCUUGGUGUUUACCACACUUCCUCUCAGAGGAGGUGAUGUUUUUUACUUCUCUUUAAUGUAUCUACAGGAGCUCAUAAGGCAGGGAUGGCCAAAUAGGGGCAUUCAGACAGAAAAGCACGUGGCCAAGGUCCCAGCAGAAAAGAGAGGAUGCCUGCAAUCUGGGUAAUUUGAAGAGAGAUAAGAGAUCAACAAAAUGGCCACUUUCAAGGGCAUGGACAGUUCAAGGAACCAAGCUAGGGAUAGUAAAGACCUGACACAUCCAGGCUUGCAGGGGCACGAAGGAGAAGCUAUUGUGGAACCCCGACAGGAUGUUUAUACAUUGGAGGCUGCCUUCCUUCCACAAAGGGACACAGCAACAAGAGCAUCCCAGUGUGUGAGAGCACAGACAGCAACUGCCCUGAUUCAUUCUCCUCCUACCUCUGAUCUCUGCCAGCCCUUUUUAUAUACCGUACUCAGCAAGAGGCUAGAGGGCAGAGAGUGUCAUGAAAGGUAGACCUAGAGGGACAAAUGGAAGGUAGUCAGCAAGAUGUGGAGGCAUAAAAACAACAGCAAGUUCCAGGGUUGGUCAAGGGCACAGUGAACCAUGGUACCAUCCUAGUGGUCUCCCCUGGUUCUUGGUCUUCCCCAUGUUCUCGUCCUGAACCAGGUUUUGCGUCUGUAUGCCUGAGAGGUGUCCUCAAAAGAUUUUCCCGAGUGAGCCCCCAAAUCCUUCUUCCCUUUUCCCAAGACAUUGCAGGCUCUCAUUUUCCUAAUUCCUUAUGCCCUUGCUCUUACCCUCAUGGACCGUCUCAGACAGGGAAGGCCUUCCAAGAUACGUGAACUUCUAAGCUACACGCAUUCUGGCUGUAUGACCUUACACGAGUUAUUAAUCUUUGUGUGUCUUAGUUUUAACAUCUGUAAAAUAAGAAUAAUAAUAUCUGCCUUUAAGUUGGGUUUAGAUUUUUAUAUUAUUUUUCUCAAAAAAUCUAACAUAAAAAUCUAGGUGGAUUCUUAUUAAUAAAUGGAGAAAAUUAACAAACCUUUGUAACAGAGUUAACACAAAGGACACAAACACUUGAAACAAUGGCCAUGUCAGUAAACUUUGGUGGGAACAACAGCUCAACAUAAUUUUACAGGAAGACAUUGAUUUCCUGGAAUUGCGUUUCCCAAUAUGGUAGCCACAUUUGGCUACUGAGAUGUGAAAUGUAGCUAGUCAAAAUCUAUAUGUCAUAAAAUGUACACAGACUUAAAAUACAGUAUUAAAAUGUAAAAUAUCUCAAUAAUUUUAUACUGAUUAUAUAUUAAAAGGUAAUAUUUGGAUAGGCUGGAAAACAUUGAAUAACACAUAUUACUAAAUUUAAUUUCACUUGUUUCCUUUUUACUUUUUUAUACUGUGGACACAAAAAUUUUAAAAUCACAUUUGUGGUAUGGUUGUAUUUCUCUUCGGACUCUUCUAGAAGAAAAGAACUUUAGAUACAGAAGCACUAAUGAAUUCGUUUUGGUAAAUCUUUGCAUAUUAAUAAACAAAUAAGAUCUGGGUAGAAAAUUAGGUUUAUAAAUGUGAACUAAGACAUUUUGUUUAGAAGUUGGAAGGCAUGAUUUCUUAUAAAAGAAUGUAAACAUUUGUUUUGUUUUCUUAUCUUCAUGUUCUCCAAGGAAGAGUCAGGCAUUGUAUUAAUUGCUCAGUGAAUGCUAAGUUAAAUUGACUAAGAUUGGGGAAGGAACUAAUUCAUAAGAGAAGGAAAUGGGGUGUUAGAGAAUUGUGCAUUUGACGGUGUACUCACUUUUACGGUGUGACUUUUAGAUGAUGUUUCCAUGUCACUAGUUAAUGUCUUCUUGUUUUAGGUUGAGGAACUCUGGUUAGCACGUCUGAUGGGGAAGUCUAGUAAUGAUGCACUGCCUCAGCUUUGGUUUGUCAUGGAAUGUCUUUGUUUUUCCCUCAUUUCUGAAAGUAUAGCUUCCCUGAUUGGAAGAUUUUCCUUCAGUACUUCCAAUAUACCAUCCUACUUUUGCCUGGCCAGUAACAUUUCCGCUAAGAAAUUCUCUGAUAACCUUAUGAAUGCUCCCUAGUAUGUAAAGAGCCUCUUUUUUCUUGCUGCUUUCUAAUUUUUCUCUUUGUCUUUGGUUUUGGGCAGUUUGAUUAUAGAUGGCCCCUGACUUAUGAAGGUGUGAAAGCCAUACUCACUCCGUAGAAACCGUACUCUGAAUUUUAAAUUUUGAUCUUUUCUGAGGCUUGCAAUUUGUGAUAUGAUAUUCUCUUCUGAUGCAGGGCAAUGACCAUCAACUAUACCUCCCAGUCAGGCACAGAAGCAUGUGGAUAAACAAUCGAUACUACACAGUGUAUGUUUUUAAUAAGCUAUGAUGUUCAGUGGGUUGACAUAUUAAAUGCAUUUUGACUUAUGAUAUUGUCACUUUGUGAUAAUUUAUUCAGAUAUAUUCCCAGUGUAAAUUGAGGAGCAUCUGGAUGAAGACUUGAUAAAAUCUUCUUUGGGUUGACAUGAUUGGAUACUUUUGAGCUUCAUAUAUUUGGAUGUUCAUAUCUCUUACCAGAUGUGAGAAUUUUUCAGCCAUAAUUAAAAUAUAUAUUUUAAAAUUAUUUAUCUAAUUAUAUAUUUUUCAUUAAAAAAUACAUAUUCCUUUGUAUCUUCCUGUUUGGAGACUCUUAAAAUGUGAAUGCUAGCUCUUUUGUGGGUGUCCUGAAGACCCCAUAGGUUUUCUUUGUUCUUUUUAUUCUUUUUUUUUCUCCUCUGACUGCAUAUUUUCAAAUGACCUAUCUUAGAGUUCACAAAUUCUUCUGCCUAAUCAAAUUUGCCAUUCACUCUACGACAUAUUUUAUUUCAUUCUUUGUAUUCUUUAGUUUCAGGAUUUUUGUUUGGUUCUUUUUAAAAAAAUACAAUUUUUAUCUCUUUAUUGAACUUCUUGUUUUGUUCACGUAUUGUUUUCCGAUAUUGUUUAGUUGACUGUGUUUUCUUAUAGCUUGCUGAGCUUCUUUAAAACCAUCAUUGUAAAUUAGUUUCAGGAAAUAGAAAGAUCUCCUUAUUUGGGGCUGGUUGCUGGAAUAUUAUUGUGUUCCUUUGGUGGAGUCAUAUUUCCUUGAUUUUUCAUGUUCCUUGAUGUUUUGUGUUUCUGCUUUCACAUUUUCAGAAAUGGUCAUCUCCUCCAGUCUUUAUUGACUAUUCUGGGGAUCGUCACCAAAUAUCUCAGCUAGGAGUUCUGGGGCCCUCUCAGACCUUUCCAAUGAAUGCCCUGAGUUCACACUUUGGUUCUCUUUGGUGGGAGAUUUCUUACGCUUGUGUGUCUUCUCCCAACCCUAAAAAGCCAACCUAGGUGAUGCCUUGAAAUAUUUAAGUUGUGUACCUUCCUCCAAGUUCACAAAGUUGAGGGGCUUGUUUUUGUAAGAUGCUUGCGUUUGCCUUCUGUAGGGGUAUGUGUUUUAGGCAGGGUAGCUAUGAGAGAUAGCCCUGAGGUUGAGGAGUAUUUGUGGUGUCCAUGGCCACUGGUUUCAUGCGGGGGGGGGGCACAAACGAUGCAUCUCACGUGGCUCCUGGGUGGGCUUCCUAAUGGAAUCUGCAGAGUGGUUAGUAGGACCUGUUACUUCCAUUCCUAGCUUCAGUUUGUCCCAAACGCUCAGCCAUCCUGAUCACUUCUGUAUUCUGCAUGGGGUGAGAGAGUGGUAAGCCUCUUGGGCAACGUCCUGCCUGGCUGGAGGAGCUGGGUAUGACUCACUUUUCCCCAUGGGGAAAAUCAUGGGGUAAGGUGUCUCUUGGCACUAGGUUGUGCUGUGAUGGGGGAGGAUGACAUGGGUAAAGUGCAACUCUUCUUUUUGCCCCCUUAAAUACUUCUCAGAUUUUUCUUUUCUCCAAAGCACUGGAUCCUCUUUUCUGGAUUCCUGGACUCCCAAAAGACACUCUUGUCCACUGGUAGUUGGUUGUCAAAAUCAGUGCUUCUUUAUUUGUACAUGUGGUGUAAGUGUGUAUAAAUAUAGCAUGGGGGAUCAUGGUAGACAGCUCCUGUCCCACCACCUUGCUGACAUCAUUCCCCAUUCCCAUCACUUCUCAGGUUUCAUCUCUGAGCUCCGAUGGUCAGUCCUAUUACCUGAGCUCCAGUGUGUACUAAGAGUGUGUGUCUAUCCUUCACUUCUGUACUUAGCUUUGCAGAAGCAAGUAAAUAAAUAGAUCCUUGAAUUGGUGGUGGAAUCCUCAAUAGUACUAAUUCCAACUUGCUUGAUAUGUCUGCUUUAUGUCCUCAUUUGUGGUGUUUACGUGGUAUCUAGUAGCUCAUCCCUUCAUUUUAACUUUUCUUUAGCAUAAAGACUGUUACACUUAAUUUUAUAUUAUAUACAAUUUAAAAAUUUAUUCUAUUUCAUAAUUAGUAUUUAUUUUAAUAGCAAUUCCUCUUUUUCAUAUUGUCACUCAUGACAGAUCUCCUGGAUUCAUCCUCAUUUUAAAAAUAUUUGCAAGGAAGUUCCUUCCAUGUGUUUUACAAUCACUGGUUCACACAUCUUCAGUGGUAUAUGAACUUCUCCUCCCCGCCUUCAGUUCACUCACUGACUUGCUCAGUGGUUGGGCUGCCAGAUGCAGAAGAUGAGUCCCCCUGUUCAGUGUCACUGAGAUGUCUUCAAGGCCACAGACCCCAGAGGUACUCAACAGGUCUCACCGUAGGAGUCCUCAGAUCCCCACGUGCCAUACUGAAUCUGUCACUAAAAUUCAGGUGCUAGCCUCAUGCUUCUUCCUCAGCUCAAGAAACCAAAAGUGAAAAUCAGAGAGGAAGCAUAUGAGUGUGGUCUAUGCAGAGAAGACUACACGGAUGUACAUCCUGUGCUGUCCAACACAGCACGUGCAGCUGUGACCAUGUGGCCCAUAGUGCCUGCAUUACACCAAGCGUGAACACUGUAUCUCCAGAGAGUUCCUCUGGACACUGAUGCAGUCAUAUGUCCCGUGCACAGACAAGUCCUUGCCGGUCCAUUUCAAACAUUGGUUAGCCAAUGUGCCUAUGCACAUCUCAAGAGCCUUGAUAAAUUGCUGAGCCUGGCCUUGAACUUCUGAUCCUCCUGCUUCAGCCUCCUGAGUCACUGGGAUUGCAAGCAUACAUCACUGCGCCUGGUUAAAUUUGAAGUCUUAUCACAAAAACGGUUUUGUUUGAUCUGAAGGAAGCCAAAGGAAAGGUGUCAAUUCCGUCUGCUACCAACAGAUGGCGAUAGCAGUCACUGUAAAUCCUGACUUUAGAUGCAAAUGAUUGGGAAGACUUCGUUCUGGACCCUCAUCUCUUCAGAAUGAAGAAGACCUUGAUAAUCCUACGAAACUGGCUGGUUUCUUCCGUCUGUCCUCCUCUCCAUCACUCUCCUUUUUCUUCCUUCCUUCUUUAUUCUUUUCUCCUUCCUGGCUCUCACUUUCUCUUCCUUCCUUCUUUUCCUUUCUUGCCCAGCCUUGGAAUGUAUUAGAAUUUCCAAAGAAUCAAAGCUUUAUUUUGAAACUUCAUGUCAUUCUUCAGCUUUUAAUAAAAGUUAAGUGCUUGGUUUAUCUUUUAUAUUAUUUAA